rnacentral:rRNA from 1 species
CCCUUAGAUGUUCUGGGCCGCACGCGCGCUACACUGACGAAUGCAACGAGCUUAUAACCUUGGCCGAAAGGUCUGGGUAAUCUCCAAAUUUCGUCGUGAUGGGGAUAGAUUAUUGCAAUUAUUAAUCUUCAACGAGGAAUGCCUAGUAAGCGCAAGUCAUCAGCUUGCGUUGAUUACGUCCCUGCCCUUUGUACACACCGCCCGUCGCUCCUACCGAUUGAAUGAUCCGGUGAAUAAUUCGGACUGCAGCACUGCUUGGUCUCCAGGCUUUGCAGCGGAAAGUUUAGUGAACCUUAUCACUUAGAGGAAGGAGAAGUCGUAACA